CAAUAGCGUAUAUUAAAGUUGUUGCAGUUAAAAGGCUCGUAGUUGGAUUUCUGGUGGGAGCGAUCGGUCUGGCGCUUAGCGCGAGUACUUGCAUCGUCUCCGGCCAUCCUUGGGGAGAGUCUGUCUGGCAUUAGGUUGUCGGGCAGAGGAUCCUCAUCGUUUACUGUGAAAAAAUAGAGUGUUCAAAGCAGGCUUAUGCCGUUGAAUAUAUUAGCAUGGAAUAAUAAGAUAGGACUUUGGUACUAUUUUGUUGGUUUGCGCACCAAAGUAAUGAUUAGUAGGGACAGUUGGGGGUAUUCGUAUUCCGUUGUCAGAGGUGAAAUUCUUGGAUUUACGGAAGACGAACUACUGCGAAAGCAUUUACCAAGGAUGUUUUCAUUAA
rnacentral:rRNA from 1 species